UACGGAGGAUGCGAGCGUUAUUCGGAUUUAUUGGGUUUAAAGGGUGCGUAGGCGGUCUGUUAAGUCAGCGGUGAAAGUUUGAGGCUCAACCUUAAAAUUGCCGUUGAAACUGGCGGACUUGAGUGUAAAUGAAGUGGGCGGAAUUUGUGGUGUAGCGGUGAAAUGCAUAGAUAUCACGAGGAACUCCAAUUGCGAAGGCAGCUCACUAAGCUACAACUGACGCUGAAGCACGAAAGCGUGGGUAUCAAACAGG
rnacentral:rRNA from 1 species